rnacentral:lncRNA from 1 species
GUGGUCGACAGUAAAACGUUUAUUAGUAAUUGUACUGAAAAGUUUACCUUUAACUUGUUUGUCGUGGGCGAUGAUUUUAUGCUCACUCAGUCUAUCGGAGGCCUUCAAGUGGGGAUUUAAAUAAUCAUUUGUUACAAAUUUUGAUACAUAAAAUGAAACUUUCUUUUCACAAAUCAUUUAAGGAAUUUAUUUUAAAUAAUUGUUAUACCAUCACUUACAACAGUUUCACUUUUAAGAAUAUUAAUGUCCAGAGCUGAUAUCAAUAAAUAAUAAUAAUAAAAAAAAGUUUAUUCAUGGUAAAAAAAAAAAAAAAACUUUUAAGUUAAUAGGGACCCGCGUUAUUUCAGAAAAUAUCUUAUUGAUUAAGAGAACAAAAACUUCUACGUUGUGAUCAUUUAAGAGUGGCCUUCUAUUUAUUCAAUGCUAACCAUGUGGGCUUUGUUUUUUUUUUUAUAUAUACCAUAAAUCGAUUCGUUCAUUCAGAUAUUUGUCAGUUUGCCUUGGCUCUUCAAGUCCAACACACAACUUCUCACGAAAUUGGUAUUUUUCUUACAAAAAUUACAUCCAUGUGAUGUAUUCUUUUCAUGGAGAAUGAAUGUUGCACCUUAUUUUAUUUGUUAUCGUUUUUUUUUUGUGUGUGUAUCAUUGACGUAUAAGACAACCUGAAUCUUCUUUAUUCAAAUUUAAAACAUACGAGAUGGCAAUUAUGACACAAAAUAACUAAAUUAAACUUACAGCAGAAGAAAGAUAAUGAACAUCGCUUUUAU